AUUGAACGCUGGCGGCAGGCCUAACACAUGCAAGUCGAGCGGAUGAAGGGAGCUUGCUCCUGGCUUCAGCGGCGGACGGGUGAGUAAUGCCUAGGAAUCUGCCUGGUAGUGGGGGAUAACGUCCGGAAACGGGCGCUAAUACAGCAUACGUCCUGAGGUAGAAAGGGGGGGAUCUUCGGAGCUCGCGCUAUCAGCUGAGCCUAGGUCGGAUUAGCUAGUUGGUGGGGUAAAGGCCUACCAAGGCGACGAUCCGUAACUGGUCUGAGAGGAUGAUCAGUCACACUGGAACUGAGACACGGUCCAGACUCCUACGGGAGGCAGCAGUGGGGAAUCUUGGACAAUGGGCGAAAGCCUGAUCCAGCCAUGCCGCGUGUGUGAAGAAGGUCUUCGGAUUGUAAAGCACUGUAAGUUGGGAGGAAGGGCAGUAAGUUAAUACCUUGCUGUUUUGACGUUACCAACAGAAUAAGCACCGGCUAACUUCGUG
rnacentral:rRNA from 1 species